rnacentral:tRNA from 1 species
GUUGUUGCUCAGUGGUAGAGCACUCACCUAGCAUGUGUGAGGCCCUGGGUUCGAUCCUCAAUACCACA